rnacentral:lncRNA from 1 species
GCCCCCACGUGAUCUCCCCCAAUCUGGACUACGGCUCCCUGCGGGGCCCGGAUUCCGCCCCGCCCCCGCGCCCGCCCUCUCCCAGACCGCCCUCGCUCACCUGGUCUUGGCCUCCGGCGAACAAAGGGCCUCGGUUACGGAGCAGAGUCUAAGCGCCCAGCUCAAUCUGAGAACUACAAUUCCCAGAAUCCACGUCAGGCACGCGGGAGGAGGAGUCGCUCCAAACGCAGGCGCACGUGAGCCUGAAGCCCGAGGCCUUUUGGGAAGUGGAGCCCAAGGUGAGCACUGCGCAUGCGUACGUAUCAAGGUACGAAUCCUGACAAAGUCCCGCACAAGUUCAGCUCUUCCCUCUACCCUUGCCUCCUACCAGCGGACUCAAUUUCCCAGAAGCCUCUGCAGUCUCUUGCGGCUGUUUCUGAUUGUCGUUGGCCAAGUCAAUAUUCACAAAUCCAACCUGUGUAAAAUGGUGGGCGGGGCCGGCCCGCGCUUAUUUAUUUUUUUUAUGCAAAUCAUAGUGCGCGGGAUGUAGUCUCUCCGCAGAGACCUUCGGGCUGGGCGCGCGUCAUUUUUAAACCUUUCCUGCCUGGAGGCCGGCAAUCUCCGGGGCUUCGGGGGUUCUGGCCAAGGAACGUGGAGCCAGCGUGACUGGCUUGAGUCCCCAGUUAUCUGGGUUACUGAGCUUUGAAAAGACUACAUUGAAGACUGUCACCAUUAUACAUUUAUUAUUGUCAAGGCCUGAAAACGAAAGACCAGUCACAAAGAUUUUGCAACGACAGUUAAUUUUAAAAAUACCAAAGAGCUCACAGUUAUCACAGACACAACUGUUUAACUGAUGAUUUAAAAUAAAACCAAAGAGAUCAACAGGCCUUAGAAAGGUGGGUGAAUUAGAGGGAUGUCCACCCCAAGUACAUGUAGACUUACCUCAAUGGAAUGGGCAGAUGAGAACAACUUCUUCCAAUGGCCAUGAAGGUGGCUGAAGCAGGCAGGCAUUGUGGAGUGUGUAGAGCUCUGUUAGAUGUCAAAGAAUCCAAGAUCAUUCACUAU